UCUCUGGUGCUCCAGUGGCUAGGACUCUGCAUUCCCAAUUCAGGGGCUCAAGUUCAAUCCCUGGUCAGAGAA
rnacentral:tRNA from 1 species